rnacentral:rRNA from 1 species
AUUGAACGCUGGCGGCAUGCUUUACACAUGCAAGUCGAACGGCAGCGCGGGCUUCGGCCUGGCGGCGAGUGGCGAACGGGUGAGUAAUGCAUCGGAACGUGCCCAGUCGUGGGGGAUAGCCCGGCGAAAGCCGGAUUAAUACCGCAUACGACCUGAGGGUGAAAGCGGGGGACCGAAAGGCCUCGCGCUAUUGGAGCGGCCGAUGUCGGAUUAGCUAGUUGGUUGGGUAAAGGCUUACCAAGGCGACGAUCCGUAGCUGGUCUGAGAGGACGACCAGCCACACUGGAACUGAGACACGGCCCAGACUCCUACGGGAGGCAGCAGUGGGGAAUUUUGGACAAUGGGGGAAACCCUGAUCCAGCCAUGCCGCGUGAGGGAAGAAGGUCUUCGGGUUGUAAACCGCUUUUGUUCGGGAAGAAAUCAUCUGGGCUAAUACCCCGGGGGGAUGACGGUACCGGAAGAAUAAGCACCGGCUAACUACGUG